GACGAACGCUGGCGGCGUGCUUAACACAUGCAAGUCGAACGGAAAGGCCCUGCUUUUGUGGGGUGCUCGAGUGGCGAACGGGUGAGUAACACGUGAGUAACCUGCCCUUGACUUUGGGAUAACUUCAGGAAACUGGGGCUAAUACCGGAUAGGAGCUCCUGCUGCAUGGUGGGGGUUGGAAAGUUUCGGCGGUUGGGGAUGGACUCGCGGCUUAUCAGCUUGUUGGUGGGGUAGUGGCUUACCAAGGCUUUGACGGGUAGCCGGCCUGAGAGGGUGACCGGCCACCUUGGGACUGCGAUACGGCCCAGACUCCUACGGGAGGCAGCAGUGGGGAAUAUUGCACAAUGGGCGGAAGCCUGAUGAAGAAACGCCGCGUGCGGGAUGAAGGCCUUCGGGUUGUAAACCGCUUUAGCCUGUGACGAAGCGUGAGUGACGGUAAUGGGUAAAGAAGCACCGGCUAACUACGUG
rnacentral:rRNA from 1 species